rnacentral:rRNA from 1 species
GUGGGGAAUAUUGGGCAAUGGGGGCAACCCUGACCCAGCGACGCCGCGUGGGUGAAGAAAUCCCUCGGGAUGUAAAGCCCUGUUGGAUGGGAAGAGCAGAAGACGGUACCAUACGAGGAAGCCCCGGCAAACUACGUGCCAGCAGCCGCGGUAAUACGUAGGGGGAAAGCGUUGUCCGGAAUUACUGGGCGUAAAGCGCAGGCAGGCUGAAUUAUAAGUCGGUAGUCAAAUACGGAGGCUCAACUUCCGUAUAUCUAUCGAUACUGUAAAUCUAGAGUAUGUGAGAGGGAAGCGGAAUUCCCGGUGUGGCGGUGAAAUGCGUAGAUAUCGGGAGGAACACCAGUGGCGAAGGCGGCUUCCUGGCACAAUACUGACGCUCAUGUGCGAAAGCUAGGGCAGCGAACGGGAUUAGAAACCCUUGUAGUCC